rnacentral:tRNA from 3 species
UGGGUUGUGGCUCAGCGGUAGAGCGCUCGCCUAGCAUGCGCGAGGCCCUGAGUUCAAUCCUCAGCACCACAU